rnacentral:rRNA from 1 species
UACAGAGGGUGCAAGCGUUAAUCGGAUUUACUGGGCGUAAAGCGUGCGGUAGGCGGUUCAUUAAGUCGGUUGUGAAAUCCCUGGGCUUAACCUGGGAACUGCAGUCGAUACUGGUGGACUAGAGUACGGUAGAGGGUGGCGGAACUCCGGGUGUAGCGGUGAAAUGCGUAGAUAUCCGGAAGAACACCGAUGGCGAAGGCAACCACCUGGGCCUGUACUGACGCUGAGGUACGAAAGCGUGGGGAGCAAACAGGG